GCAGAUCCUGACGUUCUUCCUACGAGAUUCUCUUUUUGAUCUGCUUGUUGUCAAACGGAGUGAUUAGCUUACGAAAUUAUCCGCUCUGGCGUUGUGCCUUCAGGUAGCAAAGGCAUUACGGCUGUACACUUCGCAUUUUCUGAAUGUCUCCGGCUCAUCUUCCUCCUCCACUACCACCACUGGAGCUUUCGGGGGGGUAACACUUGAGUUUAGGAGAUGUGUGAACAAGGAAUCCAUACUGCAAGAAGCACAGCAGAUCUGAAACAUCCAAGUAAUGCAGAGAAAAUAAUUACAUUGCAAGGUAGGAGAUAAGCAAGCUUCAGGACUUAAAAGAGAAGGGCAUAUUCUGAGCUGGUGUAAAUUACAAGUUUCACUGAAACAGGGAAGAGGCUGGUGCUGCAGAAAUGGUGGGUUGUUUUUACGUUGCUGUAAUCUGAAACUGUGGCCCCUUCUUCUAGAUAGUGAGUAUGAAGUAAAGGCCUGGACUGCUUUGGCCUGGUGGGGGAAUGAUGCCAGGGAGCAGCAGCUGUGCUUUGGGAGGGAGUACCAACGUGAGUUUUUCCCAUCUGGUGAAACCUGGCAAACAAGCUUGUAAAACUGGGGACUGGAGUGAUGGUUUUGCUUAGGAAAGACCUUGUUGCUGUAUUGCCUCUAUGGAGCCAGUCAUGCAUGUUUUUCUUUUGCUGCAAUUAACUGCAUUUAUUCUGGAAGUUUUCCUAUCAAGAAUAAACUCAGUAUUAAACUCA